UAGCCGUGAUGAAUGCUGCGCCCAAUGCGAUAGUAGGGUCUGUCGCUUCUUCCGAUAUUUCGGAUGAAAAGGUGGCGCUGCUGAGCUU